rnacentral:rRNA from 1 species
UACGGAGGGUGCAAGCGUUAUCCGGAUUCACUGGGUUUAAAGGGUGCGUAGGUGGGUUGGUAAGUCAGUGGUGAAAUCCCCGAGCUUAACUUGGGAACUGCCAUUGAUACUAUCAAUCUUGAAUACCGUGGAGGUCAGCGGAAUAUGUCAUGUAGCGGUGAAAUGCUUAGAUAUGACAUAGAACACCAAUUGCGAAGGCAGCUGGCUACACGAAUAUUGACACUGAGGCACGAAAGCGUGGGGAGCGAUCCGG